UACGUAGGGGGCUAGCGUUGUCCGGAAUCAUUGGGCGUAAAGAGCGCGUAGGCGGCUAGAUAAGUCCGGUGUGAAAGUCACAGGCUCAACCUGUGAAUGCCGCUGGAAACUGUCUGGCUAGAGUCCGGAAGGGGCGAGUGGAAUUCCCGGUGUAGCGGUGAAAUGCGCAGAUAUCGGGAGGAACACCAAUGGCGAAGGCGACGUGCUGGGUUGCACCUGACGCUGAGAUGCGAAAGUGUGGGGAGCAAACGGG
rnacentral:rRNA from 1 species